AUUGAACGCUGGCGGCAGGCCUAACACAUGCAAGUCGGACGGUAGCACUGAGGAGCUUGCUCCUCGGGUGACGAGUGGCGGACGGGUGAGUAAUGUCUGGGGAUCUGCCCGAUAGAGGGGGAUAACCACUGGAACCGGUGGCUAAUACCGCAUAACGUCGCAAGACCAAAGAGGGGGACCUUCGGGCCUCUCACUACAGGAUGAACCCAGAUGGGAUUAGCUAGUAGGCGGGGUAACGGCCCACCUAGGCGACGAUCCCUAGCUGGUCUGAGAGGAUGACCAGCCACACUGGAACUGAGACACGGUCCAGACUCCUACGGGAGGCAGCAGUGGGGAAUAUUGCACAAUGGGCGCAAGCCUGAUGCAGCCAUGCCGCGUGUAUGAAGAAGGCCUUCGGGUUGUAAAGUACUUUCAGCGGGGAGGAAGGCGAUGUGGUUAAUAACCGCGUCGAUUGACGUUACCCGCAGAAGAAGCACCGGCUAACUCCGUGCCAGCCGCCGCUGUAA
rnacentral:rRNA from 1 species